CCUACGGGCGGCAGCAGUGGGGAAUAUUGCACAAUGGGGGAAACCCUGAUGCAGCGACGCCGCGUGAGUGAAGAAGUAAUUCGUUACGUAAAGCUCUAUCAGCAGGGGAGAAACACUGACCUUACGGUCAGCAGACGGUACCUGAGUAAGAAGCCCCGGCUAACUACGUGCCAGCAGCCGCGGUAAUACGUAGGGGGCAAGCGUUAUCCGGUUUUACUGGGUGUAAAGGGAGCGUAGACGGUGCGGCAAGUCUGGAGUGAAAUGCCGCGGCUUAACUGGGGAACUGCUUUGGAAACUGGCGAACUAGAGUGCGGGAGGGGUAAGCGGAAUUCCUGGUGUAGCGGUGAAAUGCGUAGAUAUUAGGAGGAACACUGGUGGCGAAGGCGGCUUACUGGACCGUAACUGACGCUGAGGCUCGAAAGCGAGGGGAGCAAACAGGAUUAGAUACCCCAGUAGUC
rnacentral:rRNA from 1 species